rnacentral:sRNA from 1 species
CCACUGUGGGAGUCACGGGGCUGGUGCUCAGCAUCCUCGGCCUUGCUGCUGCUGCUGCUCUGCUGCAUUACGCCAGGGCCCGAACGAAACUAGAAGGACUUUCCGCCACUGGAACAUCUAGUCACAGUCCUAGUGAGUGUCAGGAGGCUUCUUCAUCCAGGUUUUCCAGGAUAGACCCUCAAGAGCCCACUCACUCUAAACCACUAGCCCCGAUGGAGCUGGAGCCGAUGUACAGCAAUGUAAAUCCUGGAGAUAGCAACCUGAUUUAUUCCCAGAUCUGGAGCAUCCAGCAUACAAAAGAAAACUCAGAAUCCAACAGAGGAAACAGUCAAGAGAUCAAGCAAAUCAAGAAGAUUGGCUUGGAGUACUUUUUCUAUGUGGGUUUGGAAGAAUCCGGCAGACAAAACAGCAAGAGAUCAAGCAAAUCAAGAAGACUGGCUUGGAAUGCAGUGUGCAUAGGUUAUAAGUUGGAAUAUACUGCCCACAGUUUAAUACUUUUCUUUGCUACUCCUACCCAACAGCUAAUUGUCCAACGAUGCAUCAAGAGCAUGAGGUGAGUCACAUUUCUUGGCUUUCUUUCCUCUCUGGCCUUCCUCUCCUGUAUUUAGGUACUUACCUUUUGUGUUUUUUUCUACCAGGAACUUACAGUCCUCUAUUCAGAAUUGAAGAAGACACACCCAGAUGACUCUGCAGGGGAGGCUAGCAGCAGACACAGGGCCCAUGAAAAUGAUGAAGAAAACUAUGAGAAUGUACCACGUGUAUUAUUGGCCUCAGACCACUGGCCCCUUACCCAGAGUGGCC